rnacentral:rRNA from 1 species
UACGGAGGGUGCAAACGUUGCUCGGAAUCAUUGGGCGUAAAGCGCACGUAGGCGGCCUGAUAAGUCGGGUGUGAAAGCCCUGGGCUCAACCCAGGAAGUGCACUCGAAACUGUCAGGCUUGAAUAUGGAAGAGGGUCGCGGAAUUCCCGGUGUAGAGGUGAAAUUCGUAGAUAUCGGGAGGAACACCAGUGGCGAAGGCGGCGACCUGGGCCAAUAUUGACGCUGAGGUGCGAAAGCGUGGGGAGCGAACGGG